UACGUAGGGUGCAAGCGUUAAUCGGAAUUACUGGGCGUAAAGCGUGCGCAGGCGGUGAUGUAAGACAGGUGUGAAAUCCCCGGGCUCAACCUGGGAACUGCAUUUGUGACUGCAUGGCUAGAGUGCGGCAGAGGGGGAUGGAAUUCCGCGUGUAGCAGUGAAAUGCGUAGAUAUGCGGAGGAACACCGAUGGCGAAGGCAAUCCCCUGGGCCUGCACUGACGCUCAUGCACGAAAGCGUGGGGAGCAAACAGG
rnacentral:rRNA from 1 species